GCAUUAAUGGGGUAGUGGUAACCUGGGUUGUUGCCAUGUUGGAGAGCCUGAGUUCUCAACCCGCCGGGGGUUCGAUUCGUCCUUAAUGCA